CUCAGUCCCAUGAAACUGUGGCAUCAGCUCUUCAAUCCUCAAACUGUGUCCUGAUAGAGUUGGAUCUGAGUAACAAUGAUGUGCUGGAUUCAGGAGUGAAGCUACUAGCUGAUGGACUGAAGAGUCCAAACUGCCAGCUGGAGAUACUGAGGUUGUCUGGCUGUAUGGUGACAGAGGAAGGCUGUGGUUAUUUGUCUUCAGCUCUGAAUUCAAAUCCCUCACAUCUGAGAGAGCUGGAUCUGAGCUACAAUCACCCAGGACCAUCAGGAGUCCAGCUGCUCAAACACAAACUGGAUGAUACAAACUAUAAACUGCAUAUACUCAAUUUAGAUCAUGGAGGCCACUUCAGAAUCACAUCAGGACU